AUAUCUAAAACCAAGCAUAACCUACAAACAAAUUUAAUAUUCAAUCUCAACCUUGACAAUAUCAAUUACGUAGGAACACAACACAGCACAAGGCUUAUCCAUAUCAUAUCAAUGUCGUUUUCCAAUUUGAGAAGUGUUGUUUUCUCUCUUUUCAUUCCCAAUUUUCGACAUCCAAACCCUAAAUUCAUUCCGAGGAAGAUGUACUCUCGAUUACGUGAUGAUGAAGAAGACAAAGACAAUCUGGUUUCCUCAUUCAAUCGCUUGCUCCAUCAGAAUCGUACGGCAUCCAUCUUCCAAUUUGGUAAAAUUUUAGGUUCCCUUGUUAAGGCCAACCAUUACUCUACUGCCGUCUCACUUCAUCGACAAAUGGAACUAAUGGGAGUCCCAUCUAACUUAGUCACAUUGACCAUCUUGAUCAAUUGCUAUUCUCACUUGGGUCUCAAUUCUCUUUCCUUUUCUGUAUUUGCCAACAUUCUCAAGAAGGGUUAUCACCCAAAUGCCAUAACUUUCAAUACAAUCAUCAAGGGUCUCUGUCUCAAAGGUCAAAUCCAUCAAGCAUUGCACUUUCAUGACAAGCUCCUAGCCCUAGGAUUUCAGCUGAACCGAGUUAGUUAUGGGAUAUUAAUCAAUGGGUUAUGUAAAGUGGGAGAAACACGAGCUGCCUUGCAAUUAUUGAGACAUGUUGAUGGGAAAUUGGUUCAGCCUGAUGUGGUCAUGUACAGCACAAUUAUUGAUGGUAUGUGCAAAUAUAAACUUGUUGACGAUGCUUUUGAUUUAUAUUUUGAAAUGAUUGUUAAGAGAAUUUCUCCUGAUGUUGUCACUUACACUGCUUUAAUUAGUGGCUUUUGCAUUGUUGGUAAAAUAAAAGAGGCAAUUGAUUUGUUUAAUAAGAUGAUAUUGGAAAACAUCAACCCGGAUGUCUAUACCUUUAGUAUUUUGGUUGAUGCAUUUUGUAAAGAAGGAAAAGUGAAAGAAGCUAAAAAUGUGUUUGCUGUGAUGAUGAAAAAAGACAUAAAACCUAACAUUGUUACUUAUAACUCUUUGAUGGAUGGAUACUGCCUAGUGAAAGAAGUGAAUAGGGCCAAGGAUAUAUUCAACACUAUGCCCCAGAGGGGAGUGAGUGCUAACGUUAGGAGCUACAGUAUCAUGAUUAAUGGAUUGUGUAAGAUUCAAAUGGUUGAUGAAGCCAUGAAUCUAUUUGAACAAAUGCAUUGUAGAAACAUUAUUCCGGAUGUGGUAACUUACAACUCCCUUAUUGAUGGUUUGAGCAAACAAGGGAGAAUCUCAUAUGCUCUAAAACUUGUCGAUGAGAUGCAUGAUAGAGGUCAACCUCCUGACAUAAUUACUUACAAUUCUAUAUUGGGUGGUUUAUGCAAAAACCAUUAUGUUGAAGAGGCAAUUGCAUUAAUAACAAAACUUAAGGAAAUUGGUAUUCAACCAGAUAUGUUCACAUAUACUAUUCUUAUUGAAGGAUUGUGUAAAAGUGGAAGACUUAAGGAUGCACAAAAGGUUUUCGAAGAUCUUUUGGUCAAAGGCUACAAUCUAGAUGUUUGUACAUAUACUAUUAUGAUCAAGGGCUUUUGUAAAAAUGACUUGUUCGAUGAGGCAUUGGCCAUGCUGUCAAAAAUGAAAGACGGUGGUUGCAUUCCGAAUGCUAAAACUUAUGAAACCAUUAUUCUUUCUCUCUUUGAAAAAGAUGAAAACGAUAAAGCGGAGAAACUUCUUCGUGAAAUGAUUGGGAGAGGUCUACUAAAAGACAUAAACUAGGUCAAGAUCAAGAAUGAUCGCAAUAUCCCUCCAACCAAAAUGGAGUUGUGACAACCCCUUUGAUGAAUCACGUCCAGGAGUAGCAUGGGGCUGGCCCAUUGUUUUUGCACUGAGUGAGAUAUGCUGGUCUCAUGUUUGAAGUCUUCAUUUUAUUCUGCCCACUUAGACUCAUAGACCAACAACUACUGUGAUUUGAUUUGGUUUUGGUGAGGUGUGCGUAUGCCAUGAAAAGAAUGGAAGUGCAUUGUAUCCUUGCUCCUCGAUGAAAAUCAUCAAUCUCAAACAAUGAUGUAACAAACUUGACGUGUCUCCUGUGUGCAUCGGUGAAAAAGGUUGUUCGAGGAAGGGUUGUCCUUGCUACUGAUAACUGAAAUCAGACUACACAGCAGAGCUCAAAAAGAUUGGGAAAACUGCAAGUUCACGUGCGGACAAGACCUUAGUGUGCGACGAACCAGUAGCCAAAACCUCUACCUGCAACAAACCCGCAAGUGCAACGAACCAGUAGCCAAAACCUCUACCUGCAACAAAUCCGCGAGUGCAACGAACCAUCUUCCAAAACUUCCACCUGCAAUGAACCCGCGAGUGCAACGAACCAGCUGCCAAAACUUCCACCUGCAAUGAACCCACAAGUGACACGAAGGUACUGUGCUCUGAAAUCCUUGUGUUAAGUCUGAUGUUUGAUUUUGUUUUCAACUAUUUAUCCAACCGAGUUCCUGAUGUUUUUAUUUUGAGUCUGAUGACUGAUUUUGUGUUCCGCGUUUAAUGGGAAGUCCUAAAUGUAAAGAAGUGCAGCCAAGACAUAUUAUUGCUAUAUGAUUUGAGUUGGAGAAAGACAGAUGUUCAGAUAGAGGUUUCAAUUACAGUUUUUCUUCUUACUUCUAAUCUAGUUGGUUGCUGCUUCAAAAUAUUUGUUUAUUUUAUACAAACUUUUCAAAGUAUGCUAUGGGAAUUUUCUUUUUCUACUAAAUUGAUGAAAAUAUAAGAAUUAAGAGAUAUUCACAUGAUCAAAGAAGAGAGCUUGAGCAACAUGUUUUGUGGCAGUGAUGAUCAAUCUGAGCUACGGCCAUGGUUGGAGCAGAAACACGUAAUUGAACUAAUACUUGGCUAGUUGAAAUUGAUUAUUGAGCACUAGAAAAAGUCUUGAAAUAGUUUGGUUGCUAAAACUGCAGUUUAGAACUCGGAGCUUAAACGCUUGUAGUAAGCAUAAUUAUAGUUUUGGCAUAACUAUGCAGUAGCCUAAUACUUAAAUGUUUAUGAUGAAUGGUUCAGGUUGACAAUACUUACACACUGUUUUUUAACAAUGGGCAAUGGCAGCAUAUCCUAUUGAAUUAGACUCAUCAUAGGCCAGCAACAACUAUGAUUUGAUUUGGGUUUUGGAGAUGCAUGCAAUGUCAUCAUGCCAUUCAAGUAGAGUAAUUCCUAGAAUUCAAUAAAUGUAUAGCACACACGGUGUGUAGAUUUACAAAAUACUGGAGUGUAUUGAGUUCUGUAAGUUGCCUGUGAUUUUUUAGUAUUAGUUAGGUAGACUAGUAUGCUAUCUUUUUUGUUUCUUUUAUUUUUUUGUUUAAGAAUUGACAAGGUUCUAAAACUAGUAUAAAUGAUAAAAAAAAAUCAAUCUAAAUUUGUGAUUGGGAGAUAAAUCAUUGAAUAACUAAGUGAAAUGAAUUAAUAUUAAAGGUUUAUAUGCCCUAAUAAAGGUUCUUUUCCAAUUUAUAAGAAAAAUUGUGCAAAUUAUGAAAUAAUGGGAAAGAGUGAUGUAACCAAGAUUAAGAAAAAAGACUAAGUCACUGAGAAUCAAUUUGAUUUUAUGUUUGAAAAAUCGACCAUAAAAGCGAUCUAUCUAUUAUAAUGUGUGAUGUAGUAUUAGAUGGACCAACUAGACUUUCACAUAACAUUUAUUGAUUUGGAGAAGGUGUGUGAUAGUAUGUCUAGAGAGAUUGAGGGGGUUCAAUAGUGACUUGGUGUGAAAUCAAGACGAGAAAACUGUCAGAGUAAAGUUAAAAGGGAUUAGAUGUUUAUUUGGAAUCCCCUAAUUAUACAUAUUGAUAAAUUGUGUGUUAAAUGAAUUAUAAUUAAGCUAUAAUCUCACCGAGAUUUAAAAAGACCACUGUACCCAAUUCUUUUUGUGUAGAGCUCACUAAUUUACAUAAUAAUUUCCUAAUUUCUUAGGCCAAUUCAGAGCCAAAAGCCACAACUUAUUAUUAACUAUUCCUAGUUAAUUACUAAGUUGAAUAACAGGCCUAAUUCACUUACGUUCAAUAAUCUCUACUUAGCUAAGAUCAAUUUGCACGUUCGUCAAUACACAAAAAGCAUUAAACACAAGAAUAAUUAAAUAAUAAUUAUAACAUAAAAGCAUUCAAAUAAUCCCA